rnacentral:rRNA from 1 species
GACGAACGCUGGCGGCGUGCUUAACACAUGCAAGUCGAACGAGGCCCGAGGUGCUUGCACUUCGAGAGUCGAGUGGCGGACGGGUGAGUAACACGUGACCAAUCUGUCUUCAGGAGGGGGACAACCCGGGGAAACCUGGGCUAAUACCGCAUAUCGUCCAGAAAUCGCAUGAUUAUUGGAUAAAAGAGGGCCUCUGCUUGCAAGCUCUCACCUGAAGAGGAGGUCGCGACGUAUCAGCUUGUCGGUGGGGUAACGGCCUACCAAGGCUACGACGCGUAGCGGGUCUGAGAGGACGACCCGCCACAUUGGGACUGAGAUACGGCCCAG